rnacentral:rRNA from 1 species
AUUGAACGCUGGCGGCAUGCCUUACACAUGCAAGUCGAACGGCAGCACGGGGCAACCUGGUGGCGAGUGGCGAACGGGUGAGUAAUGCAUCGGAACGUGCCAUUGAGUGGGGGAUAACGUAGCGAAAGUUGCGCUAAUACCGCAUAUUCUGUGAGCAGGAGAGCAGGGGACCGCAAGGCCUUGCGCUCUUUGAGCGGCCGAUGUCAGAUUAGCUAGUUGGUGAGGUAACGGCUUACCAAGGCGACGAUCUGUAGCGGGUCUGAGAGGAUGAUCCGCCACACUGGAACUGAGACACGGUCCAGACUCCUACGGGAGGCAGCAGUGGGGAAUUUUGGACAAUGGGGGGCAACCCUGAUCCAGCCAUGCCGCGUGAGUGAAGAAGGCCU